rnacentral:miRNA from 1 species
CUUCUGGUCAGCAAGAUACAUCUACCUUGUUGACCGGAAGGGUUUCCUUCCAAUCAAAGAGGACGUACCUUGAUGAUCGGAAGGAAACCCUUCUGAUCAAAGAGGUAGAUGUACCUCCCUGAUCGGAAG